UACGUAGGGGGCAAGCGUUAUCCGGAUUUAUUGGGUUUAAAGGGUGCGUAGGCGGCCUAUUAAGUCAGGGGUGAAAGACGGUAGCUUAACUAUCGCAGUGCCUUUGAUACUGAUAGGCUUGAAUAUACUUGAGGUAGGCGGAAUGUGACAAGUAGCGGUGAAAUGCAUAGAUAUGUCACAGAACACCAAUUGCGAAGGCAGCUUACUAAAGUAUGAUUGACGCUGAGGCACGAAAGCGUGGGGAUCAAACAGG
rnacentral:rRNA from 1 species